rnacentral:rRNA from 1 species
AAUUUUGGACAAUGGGGGCAACCCUGAUCCAGCCAUGCCGCGUGUGUGAAGAAGGCCUUCGGGUUGUAAAGCACUUUCGGACGGAACGAAAUCGCGCGGGUUAACAGCCCGCGUGGAUGACGGUACCGUAAGAAGAAGCACCGGCUAACUACGUGCCAGCAGCCGCGGUAAUACGUAGGGUGCGAGCGUUAAUCGGAAUUACUGGGCGUAAAGCGUGCGCAGGCGGCGCCGCAAGUCGAGUGUGAAAUCCCCGAGCUUAACUUGGGAAUUGCGCUCGAAACUACGGUGCUGGAGUGUGGCAGAGGGAGGUGGAAUUCCACGUGUAGCGGUGAAAUGCGUAGAGAUGUGGAGGAACACCGAUGGCGAAGGCAGCCUCCUGGGCCAACACUGACGCUCAUGCACGAAAGCGUGGGGAGCAAACAGGAUUAGAUACCCUGGUAGUCCACGCCCUAAACGAUGAUGACUAGUUGUUGGGGGAGUUAAAUCCCUUAGUAACGCAGCUAACGCGU